GUGUCAGCCGCCGCGGUAAUACGGAGGGUGCAAACGUUGCUCGGAAUCAUUGGGCGUAAAGCGCACGUAGGCGGUCCGGAAAGUCGGGUGUGAAAUCCCUCGGCUCAACCGAGGAAGUGCAUUCGAAACUUCCGGACUUGAAUAUGGAAGAGGGUCGCGGAAUUCCCGGUGUAGAGGUGAAAUUCGUAGAUAUCGGGAGGAACACCAGUGGCGAAGGCGGCGACCUGGGCCAAUAUUGACGCUGAGGUGCGAAAGCGUGGGGAGCAAACAGGAUUAGAAACCCUCGUAGUCC
rnacentral:rRNA from 1 species